GACGAGCAGAGCGCUGGGGGGGUGGGGAGUGUCGGAUCCCGCGCCCGCACGGCUGAGCUUCGGGUGGAGGCAGAGCGACGGCAGCGGGCGCCUGCGGCUGGGGCUGGGGCUGGGGCUGGGGCUGGGGCUGGGGCUGCGGCUGGGGCUGGGGCUGGGGCUGGGGCUGGGCAGGAGGACGGAGGUCCGCUGCUGAGCUCCGCUGCUGAGCUCCGCUGCUGAGCUGCCCUGCUGAACUCUGACCUUCAGUUGCCUCGGGGCACCUCUCAUGGCCCCCAUUCCAGGUCUCCCGGGUUGCAAUUCAGGCUGUGAAGAAAAUGAUUUGUUUUCUGGCGAACGGGUCUUUUCUCAAAUUUUGGCGUCCGCAUUUUUGAACAUCAUGAUCCUUCUUUUCUUCUACAUCUGCUCUCCCCAACCUUCUGAGGAUGCUUCUACCUUGUAUACUGUUUUCCUUAACUUUGGUUCGGUAAGUCCUUCUCUAGAUAAGCAUGCAUACUGUAUAGCUGUAUUUCAAAAUACAUUCAACAAAACCAAUUCUAUUUCAUAAAAGCUAUAGGAUGAGUAGUACUUGUUUCUUUCCAUUUAUUUUCGGUAAUUUUGUGUUUACAGAAAUCUGCAUUAUAAUAGUGAUAGAAUAAAAUAUAAUAAUCUAUGUGUUUUAGAUAGGAAGCACUCCUAAAUUCAUCUGUCUUUUUGUUGGUAUAUCCCACCUCUGGGAAAGUCCAGAUGAUUAGGGAAAAAAUUUCAAAUAACUUUUUAUAUCUUAAGAAUAUAAGUCCCUUCAUGUAGUAGUUGUUUUAACUUUACCAAUAAACAGAACUGAGUGCCCCUUUAAUGCCAAAUACUCUAAGAGGUGUUGCAGGAACCCAUUAAAGGAAAUACUGGGACUUUAAAUAACUUCUGGAAAUGAAAACACAGAACUAUUUUACUCUAAACAAAAUGAAACAUAAUUAAUUGAGGGAAAUUAAUAUUAACAAAAUGGUAAUUGACAAAGGAUCCUGGAGAGUACUAGUGUAGUGGUUAAACUUAAAACAUAUUGAAAAGAUAAAAUAAUAUGAAUGUAUUAUUUCUUUACUACAAUAUAGGAUAUUAAUAUUGGAGGUACCUAAUAAAGUAUGAAUUCUAAAGAUUUAAGCCAAUUUGUAUAAAAUAGACUGUCUUCUAAACUUCUGUA
rnacentral:lncRNA from 1 species